rnacentral:rRNA from 1 species
GUCCACGCUGUAAACUAUGAGUGCUAGACGUUGGGGCCCUUAGGGUUUCAGUGUCGCAGCUAACGCAUUAAGCACUCCGCCUGGGGAGUACGGCCGCAAGGUUAAAACUCAAAGGAAUUGACGGGGGCCCCGCACAAGCGGUGGAGCAUGUGGUUUAAUUCGAAGCAACGCGCAGAACCUUACCAGCUCUUGACAUCUUCUGACCGGUACGGAGACGUACUUUUCCCUUCGGGGACGGAAAGACAGGUGCUGCAUGGCUGUCGU